rfam:Toxocara canis scaffold752, whole genome shotgun sequence.
GGAACAGUAGCUCAGUGGUGGACCUCCCGCUUCAUAUGCGGGAAGACCUGGGUUCGAUUCCCGGCUGCUUCC